UUUGCCAUGACCGAGCGCAGAUCAAUUCAUGAAAAUGUGCAGAAGUGGGUGAUGUGUCCAAUAUUCAGGCAGCAUACAGAUGUUAGAAAUGUUGCAUAUGCUGAUGACAGACAAAACGGUUCUUCUUCAGAUCAAGAUCACAAAGAAAACGAAGCAUCACUCGCUGUUCAAGGGUGCUGGAUUUGGACAGGCUUUGUUGGGGACAGCUAGCACAGGAGCUGCAGCUGCUGGAUUGCCGAGUGGAUAUGGUGCUCAAGCAAAUAUCACACCAGGGGUCUUUCCUGGGUACGGUUUCCAAGCCGGUUUUCAGGGCGGUUAUCAGACUCAGCAACCUGGUCAGGGAGGUGCUGGAAGAGAGCAGCAUGGUGUAUGGUAUGGUGGUCCUUACAUGGGUCAAUAGAUGUAACUACUCAGGUAUACAACCUGCAGCUUCUUUUCACUUGUUUCAUUGAUGUUCUGUGUCUGACUUUACCUGGAGCUCUAUGGAACCAAAAACAGAGUCAUUUCAGUGUUAGUAAAGUCAUUUCAGUGUUAGUAAAGUUACCUGGUAAUGAAGAGGUUCCUCUUUUCUCAAGGAAAGCAUCACAUUGCUUGUUCUGUGUCUGGCUGUUCAAGGUUCAUAUGGAACAAAAGCUUAGCUUCCUUGCUUUUAAGAUUCCUGCUCAAGAAGUACUUUUUCUCAUCUAUUUGUUUUUGGGGGUAGAUCGAAGCUGUUACUAGAAGAAUCUAAUGGAUCACGUCUAAGUGACCCACAAUCGAAGGUUCUUGUUUUCUCCAGCUGGAACGAUGUUUCUUGAUGUGUUAGAGCAUGCCUUAGCCGCCAACGGCAUCACUUUCAACCGGAUGAAAGGAGGCAGGUAAUGUAGCGACAAAUUCAAUCGGGGAAUUCAUUGCAAGUGUUGUAUAGGUUACGUAAUGCAUAGGUUAUAUAACGUUGAUUCCAUGGAAAUGCUGGAAGUCACAGACGGGCAUUAUCAAAUUCAAGGGGACCGAGAAAGAAGACCAAAAGACAAACUCCCAUAAAAAAAGAGGCAAAAUGGAUCCAAGUCCUCUUGCUUUUAGUGCAGCAUGGUUGCCAAUGGUCUUAAUCUUCUGUAAGCACAGCAUGUUAUUCUGGUGGAGCCACUUCUAAAUCCGGCAGCAGAAGCGCAAGCUGUUGGGGCGUGUUCACCGGAUUGUACAAGAGAAGCCUACUCUAGUUCAUCGUUUUCUGGUAACGGGCACUGUGGAAGAGAGCAUCAACAAGCUGAACAGAAGUAAGAACACAAACGUAAGCUCAUUCAGCAGCAGGAAUACAAAGAAUCAAGGUCAACAGUUUCUGACACUAAGAGAUCUUGAAUCUCUAUUUGCUUCACCAGCAGCAGAAGCAGAAGAGACGGAAGAAAACUUGCGAGAUAGGCAUAAGAAUCUGAUAUAUCAGCCGAGAGGAGAAUGAAAGAAAUCAAUGCAUCCUCAUCAAGGACAGAGAGAGCUAAAAUCUAAGGUCAGAGAUCUAGAGAAAGAAGCAGCUGGCUUACUUGGACGAGCCAGACGGAUAUUCAAGCAGCUGCAGGAGUUUUAUAAGGAAUACUCCUCUUGAAAGUCCACUUGUUCAAAUUGGAGGCUGAUUACAUCAACUAGUCCCCUGUUAAUCCAAAUGUUUCCUUUAUAUUCGAUGAGAAUGAUUAGUCUGAGAUAGCUUGGUCUCAGACCCAGUGUGUGUAAUGUGUUGUUAUAGACGAAACCUGAAG